rnacentral:rRNA from 1 species
CCUACGGGAUGCAGCAGUGGGGAAUCUUGCGCAAUGGGCGAAAGCCUGACGCAGCAACGCCGCGUGCGGGAUGAAGGCCUUCGGGUUGUAAACCGCUUUCAGCAGGGAAGAAAUUGACGGUACCUGCAGAAGAAGCCCCGGCCAACUGCGUGCCAGCAGCCGCGGUAACACGUAGGGGGCGAGCGUUGUCCGGAUUUAUUGGGCGUAAAGAGCUCGUAGGCGGUUCGCUAAGUCGGGUGUGAAACCUCCAGGCUCAACCUGGAGACGCCACCUGAUACUGGUGUGACUAGAGUCCGGUAGGGGAGUGUGGAACUCCUGGUGUAGCGGUGAAAUGCGCAGAUAUCAGGAAGAACACCAGCGGCGAAGGCGGCACUCUGGGCCGGUACUGACGCUGAGGAGCGAAAGCGUGGGUAGCAAACAGGAUUAGAUACCCGUGUAGUC